rnacentral:misc_RNA from 1 species
AGCAGCCGCGGUAAUUCCAGCUCCAAUGGCGUAUAUUAAAGUUGUUGCAGUUAAAAGCUCGUAGUUGAAUUUCGGGAUCAAUAUGUUGGUCGUGCCUCGGUACGUACUAGCUUAUUGGUUUCUCCUUUCUGGAGAACCAUGAUGUCAUUUAUUUGGUGUCGUGGGGAAUCAGGACUGUUACUUUGAAAAAUUAGAGUGUUUAAAGCAGGCUCACGCUUGAAUACAUUAGCAUGGAAUAAUGAAAUAGGACGUUUGAUUCUAUUUUGUUGGUUUCUAGGAUCGACGUAAUGAUUAAUAGGGAUAGUUGGGGGCAUUAGUAUUCAAUUGUCAGAGGUGAAAUUCUUGGAUUUAUUGAAGACUAACUACUGCGAAAGCAUUUGCCAAGGAUGUUUUCAUUAAUCAAGAACGAAAGUUAGGGAUCGAAGACGAUCAGAUACCGUCGUAGUCUUAACCAUAAACUAUGCCGACUAGGGAUCGGAUGAUGUUUAAUUUUUUAAUGUACUUCUAUUCGGGCGUCCGU